GAGUUUCAUCUUGGCUCAGAUUGAACGCUGGCGGCAGGCCUAACACAUGCAAGUCGAGCGGUAGAGAGAAGCUUGCUUCUCUUGAGAGCGGCGGACGGGUGAGUAAUGCCUAGGAAUCUGCCUGGUAGUGGGGGAUAACGCUCGGAAACGGACGCUAAUACCGCAUACGUCCUACGGGAGAAAGCAGGGGACCUUCGGGCCUUGCGCUAUCAGAUGAGCCUAGGUCGGAUUAGCUAGUUGGUGAGGUAAUGGCUCACCAAGGCGACGAUCCGUAACUGGUCUGAGAGGAUGAUCAGUCACACUGGAACUGAGACACGGUCCAGACUCCUACGGGAGGCAGCAGUGGGGAAUAUUGGACAAUGGGCGAAAGCCUGAUCCAGCCAUGCCGCGUGUGUGAAGAAGGUCUUCGGAUUGUAAAGCACUUUAAGUUGGGAGGAAGGGCAGUAAAUUAAUAACUUUGCUGUUUUGACGUUACCGACAGAAUAAGCACCGGCUAAC
rnacentral:rRNA from 1 species